rnacentral:misc_RNA from 1 species
GAAAUGGCAUCCUGAUAAGAAUCCAAAUAACAAGAAAGAGGCUGAGGCGAAAUUCAAACAGAUAUCUGAAGCUUAUGAGGUUUUGAGUGAUUCACAGAAAAGGGCAAUUUAUGAUCAGUAUGGGGAAGAAGGCCUUAAAGGUCAAGUGCCACCACCAGAUGCUGCUGCUGGUGGACCUGGUGGGGCUACAUAUUUCCAUACAGGUGAUGGACCAAAUGUGUUCAGAUUCAAUCCAAGAAAUGCCAAUGAUAUCUUUGCAGAAUUUUUUGGGUUUCAAACCCCGUUUGGCGGUGGUGGGAUGGGAGGCGGCGGCGGUGGUGGGAUGAGAGGUGCAAGGUUUUCUAGUUCAAUGUUUGGAGAUGAUAUCUUCAGUUCAUUUGGAGAAGGCAGACCAACCAUACGGAAGGCGCCACCGAUUGAACGAACAGUCCCUUGUAGUCUAGAAGAACUUUAUAGUGGGACAACCAAGAAGAUGAAGAUCUCUAGGGAGAUUGCUGAUGCAAGUGGGAAGACUUUACCAGUAGAAGAAAUUCUGACCAUUAUAAUCAAACCUGGCUGGAAGAAGGGAACGAAGAUUACAUUCACAGAGAAAGGAAAUGAAGAGCCAAACGUUCUUCCUGCAGAUCUCGUGUUCACAAUUGAUCAGAAACCGCACAGUGUUUUCACAAGGGAUGGGAAUGACCUUGUAAUCAAUCAGAAUAUCUCACUUGUUGAAGCAUUAACAGGUUACACAGCCCAUGUAACAACGCUUGAUGGAAGAAAACUGACUAUUCCUAUCAACAAGGUAAUACACCCAAACUAUGAAGAGAUUGUCCCAAAGGAAGGUAUGCCACUACCCAAAGAUCCUUCUAAGAGAGGAAAUCUGAGGAUCAAGUUCAAUAUCAAGUUCCCUACAAGGUUAACAGCAGAUCAGAAGACUGGAAUUAAGAGGUUGCUUCCUUCCUAGGCCAAAAUCCAUAGCAUCUUUACACAGUCUGUGUACUGUUUUAGUUACUUUCUUUUAUCAUUUACUUUUGUUAUUUACUAUCUUGGGUAUUGGUUCCCUUGUAGUGUUUACAUAUUAUUAUCUUCUAUUCUCUGUGUAAGUCAAUAAAUAUGUGAUAGUCACAAAGUAUUUUGACAUUUUACAACUCUUCAACAAUAUGCUUUUGCUGUGGUGUAUAAUGUAUAUAAUAAACGUAUCGUCCGA